AGAAAGCUUAGGCCCCAAGCAGCAAACAGAACCAAGUCCAUGAAAUACUCAGCAACACAAAACGCUCAACAAAAGCAUAUGAACAUGAACUCUUCUUACUUCAUCGUUUCACGUUUCUUCACCCUCUCACAUUCUCAAUUCAAAAUUCCACCACGAGCACACAUGAACACUCAAAUCCUUCUUGCUUCAACAAUCAAUUUCACGUUCGAGAAAUCAUGAGCAAGCCUGAAUCCAUAUUUAUGAGUCCUCAUAUUUAAAUCGAAAUCAACAUCUAACCUCACCGAACCGGAUCGUUUGUGCAUGCGAAGUAUGAGAAGAAAGGCGGACGAAGCAAGAAAGUAGAAGAAGACUUACCGGAUUUGAAUCAAAUUGUUUGUGCACACAGAAUCGGAGCUCCGACGCGGUGGCUUUUUUGCAAUCAGCAAGUUUGUUUGGCAUGGACACGUGGGGAUUUUGUGAUAUCAAGACUUGAAGAUCUAGAUGAUGACUUAUGGACUUUAGGGAAGAUGGUUGACUUUGGUCAACUAAUUGACCAAAAAGUCAAUAGUUGACCAAAAUCAAAUGUAGGUUAGAAAUUAGGGUUUUCUUAUUUGUUUUUAUUUGUAUGAACUUGUAAAAUGACUUGUAAUGUGGAAAGGCUUGAAUGAAAUAAAAUUUGGUUUUAAAUAAAACAUGUUUUUCAUGACCUUGUUCAAGUA